GGAAGCUGAAGUCCAGAGGCUCUAUUCAGUCAAGGGGUGAUGAACUCUCUUUGGGUCUGGAGACAGGCUGGAACUGGGAUGAGAUAUGGAGACCCUGCCAUUUACGACAACGUGGAUGUAUCUGCAGGACAUUAAGACAAGUGCAAUAAGCAAGACACGGAAAGAAAAUAUAGCAUGGUCUCUCUUAUAUGUGGAAUUUUAAAAAUUAACUCUGAAUACUUUGGAUUAAACUGAUUAAAUGAAGCUGUAAGCAUCUUUGAAGUACAAAUGAUACUUGGAAAGUAAAUGAAACUGGGAAUACUUGCAAGUAAAAUAUGGGAAGUCAAAGAGAUUAAAGGAUGAGAACCAGAAAUUGCUUAUGGCCAGUGUCCUGAGUAAGCCUCAGAAUCGCAUCCUAGAAGCAUCAAGUUCUUGUGUUACCCUAUGGAUCUAAAAAACGACUUCCUUAGUUUGAUGUAGUCUGCAGACAUCUCAUCAUCACAAAAACUUGAAAGCACUUACAGCACUAAGAAACUACCUUUGCAGAUUGUAAAAAAAGAUAGAAUCCUACUUAGUGUUUUGAUCACACCUGCCUAUUUCCCCAAGGUUUUACUGCAGGGUUAAAGAAUGAAUAAGCAUCUAGUUAUAUUUAAUAAACUCCAUGCCUUAUGGCUGAUUCUAAAGGCA
rnacentral:lncRNA from 1 species